GAUGAAGAACGUAGCGAAAUGCGAUAAGUAGUGUGAAUUGCAGAAUUCAGUGAAUCAUCGAAUCUUUGAACGCACAUUGCGCCCCUUGGUAUCCCGAGGGGCAUGCCUGUUCGAGCGUCAUUUCACCACUCAAGCCUGGCUUGGUGUUGGGCGACGUCCUCUUUGGGGCCGCGCCUCGAAACGCUCGGCGGCGUGGCACCGGCUUUAAGCGUAGCAGAAUCUUUCGCUUUGGAAGUCGGGGCCCCGUCUGCCGGAAGACCUGCUCGCAAGGUUGACCUCGGAUCAGGCAGGGAUACCCGCUGAACUUAAGCAUAUCAAUAAGCGGAGGA
rnacentral:misc_RNA from 1 species